GCCAUUCGGGCCUUCGGUAAAAAUCAAAUCCAAGACAAAACAGACGAUGAGCUUCACUACAUCUCUCAUCUCCUCUCUGGCUUCUCCUCCGUCUCUCGUCCCUCCCCACGAUCUUCCUCCUUUCUUCUCCCUCAGAAACACAGUCCUGAAGCCAACAAUCGCCACUCGUACACGUCGACAACUGUUCCCAUCCUCUUGUCUGGCUGCAAAAGCAGCCACGUCGCCGUCGGAGACAGCCAACGACGUUGUCCUCGAAACAGCUCCGACACCAGCGCAUGAGGUCGUCUCCAGCUUCUACGCCGCCAUCAACGUCCAUGACUUAUCCUCCGUCACAGACCUCAUAGCUCAGGACUGCCUCUACGAGGAUCUCGUCUUCUCUUCCCCUUUCGUUGGCCGAACGGCGAUUCUGGACUUCUUCGGGAAGUUCAUCGAAGCAACGAGUACGGAUCUUCAGUUCGUGAUAGAUGACAUUUCCAAAGAGGACUCUUCAGCUGUUGGCGUUUCAUGGCAUUUAGAAUGGAAAGGCAAGAACUUCCCGUUUAGUAAAGGUUGCAGCUUUUACAAGCUUGAAGUUAUUGAUGGCAAGAGACAGAUUGUAUAUGGAAGGGACUGUGUUGAGCCUGCUAUCAAACCUGGAGACACAGUUCUGGUUGCUAUUAAGGGAGUUACCUGGCUGCUGCAGAAGUUUCCUCAACUGGCUGACCAGUUUUGAAGUAAUUACAAAGCUACUGCUUGAUGAAGUGAAUCACCUUAUAAGUUAUCAUUGUGGUAUAUAGGAACAAAUACUUAGCCAGCAAGCCCCACCGUUGUCCAAAUUGUGUUAAUGGCAGGAAAAUUAGUCGCCAUGUGUAUAACAUAUUGUUUUCGGACUGAUGAUAUAUAGAAUACGUGUUCUUAACUAUAAAAAAAGAUCCAUGAGGGUCACCUUCAUCCAACUUCUUGAAGAACUUCAUCUGAAGUUUGUUUCUGAUAGAUGGCAUAACCAGCAGCGUCUUUCAUCAGCUGAUUCAGUCCAUCAGAGCCUGUGUCAAUCCAAGCCUCCCAGGAGCAUUUUUCGUGAUAGUCCUAACUUCAGCAAGCUUGCUCCAAAAACCAGCAGCUGCCUAUUUGCUAUCAACAUAUAGUAUCCUGGAUUCUCUGGCUUCUGUUUCCAGGAGAUUUUCUGCCGCCCAUUCACCAAUCUCUGUGUUCCCGUUGACGUGGCAAGAGUUCAGUAGAAUGGCACUGGAUGGCAUUCUGUGAAUUAUAUCUCUGGCUUCCCCCCAAGAGGCCUUGCUCUGCCAUAACCAAUAAUCACAGGCGCAGCCAUGAGGCAAAGCUCACGGGGGAAAUCUAUGGGCUUUUUAUCUAAAGGCC